UCUCCCAAAUUGCACUUUUGCAUUUCCAUUUACCUCAUUCCACAGCAAAAAAGCGGUUAUUUACUCACAGACUCGUCCAAUGCAAAAUUAGUAUUAUACAGAGUUGUCAGAUAAUCAGAUUAAUAUGUUUGAUUCAGAAAUGGAAUUUGUGAGGGAAAGGCAUUGAUUCUGUCUGUAGGGUGAAUAUGAUAGCCCACAGGAAGAAACAAACCCUUCAAUCAUAGAGCACUGCCACUCACUCUCAGAUUCAAAGAAUCAAACAUCAAUUGAAAGCUUAAUCCUUAUCAUAGGCACAGAAUAUUGAAAGCUUCUGAAGCACUCGUUGUUACACUACAAAAGACUGCAGACUGCAAAGCAAUAUGCAUGCUUAUCGCUUUCAAAGACCAACAUCUCCUACGACUCUCAAAUCCACUCACUAUGAUACUCUGCUUACAAAAUAUUAUUCUCACAUUUCUUCCGCAGAAUCGUCAC